AAAAAGAUGAGGUGGUAAAGAACAUAAUGAAUUUACAUAAGCAACUGCUAAGCACAGAAGACAAAGGAGUAGUGAAAGGCUCAGUCAAAUCAAAGUCCAGCGAUGUGAGGGUGACACAGACUUUCCAUGUCCUGGUAUUGCAACAUGAAGGACAUUUUAGCUGAAACUAACAAGGGAGAGAACUGUAGAUCUGCAUUAGCACAGAGCACCAGCAUUGAUAUCGAGUUGGCCCAGCAACCGCACCAGUCUCGCCUGCAGGAGCCCCAGUCCAGAGUGACACUUCCCCUCCCUUGACUUCUAACUCCU